UACGUAGGGGGCAAGCGUUGUCCGGAUUUAUUGGGCGUAAAGAGCUCGUAGGCGGUUUGUCGCGUCUGCUGUGAAAUCCCGAGGCUCAACCUCGGGCCUGCAGUGGGUACGGGCAGACUAGAGUGCGGUAGGGGAGAUUGGAAUUCCUGGUGUAGCGGUGGAAUGCGCAGAUAUCAGGAGGAACACCGAUGGCGAAGGCAGAUCUCUGGGCCGUAACUGACGCUGAGGAGCGAAAGCGUGGGGAGCGAACAGG
rnacentral:rRNA from 1 species